rnacentral:rRNA from 1 species
AUUGAACGCUGGCGGCAUGCCUUACACAUGCAAGUCGAACGGCAGCGCGGGAGCAAUCCUGGCGGCGAGUGGCGAACGGGUGAGUAAUAUAUCGGAACGUGCCCAGUAGUGGGGGGAUAGCCCGGCGAAAGCCGGAUUAAUACCGCAUGAGACCUGAGGGUGAAAGCGGGGGAUCGCAAGACCUCGCGCUACUGGAGCGGCCGAUAUCAGAUUAGCUAGUUGGUGGGGUAAAGGCCUACCAAGGCAACGAUCUGUAGUUGGUCUGAGAGGACGACCAGCCACACUGGGACUGAGACACGGCCCAGACUCCUACGGGAGGCAGCAGUGGGGAAUUUUGGACAAUGGGCGCAAGCCUGAUCCAGCAAUGCCGCGUGCAGGAAGAAA